rnacentral:rRNA from 1 species
UACGUAGGGUGCAAGCGUUAAUCGGAAUUACUGGGCGUAAAGCGUGCGCAGGCGGUUUUGUAAGUCUGACGUGAAAGCCCCGGGCUUAACCUGGGAAUUGCGUUGGAGACUGCAAGGCUUGAAUCUGGCAGAGGGGGGUAGAAUUCCACGUGUAGCAGUGAAAUGCGUAGAGAUGUGGAGGAACACCGAUGGCGAAGGCAGCCCCCUGGGUCAAGAUUGACGCUCAUGCACGAAAGCGUGGGGAGCAAAUAGG